ensembl:lncRNA
CCCCACUCCAGUACUCUUGCCUGGAAAAUCCCAUGGAUGGAGGAGCCUGGUGGGCUGCAGUCCAUGGGGUCGCCAAGAGUCGGACACGACUGAGCGACUUCACUUUCACUUUUCACUUUCAUGCAUUGGGGAAGGAAAUGGCAACCCACUCCAGUGUUCUUGCCUGGAGUAUCCCAGGGACGGCGGAGCCUGGUGGGCUGCCGUCUAUGGGCUCGCACAGAGUUGGACACGACUGAAGUGACUUAGCAGCAGCAGUUAGAGAAUGAGUUAUUGCCCCACAUGCUGUUAGAUGUGUGACGCAAAGAAGAGAACAAAUGAAAACCUGAAGUUGCAUUUACUGAGAUAAAGAAGACCCAGGGAGGGGAGAUCAAGAGCUCAAUUUUGGCUACAGCAACAAAAACAAAAUACUGAGCUGGCUGUUACACAUCCACAGGUUGCUGUGUCCUUCUCCAGGGGAUCUUCUUGACCCAGAGAUCAAACCUGUGUCUCUUAGGUCUCCUGCAUUGGCAGGCAGGUUCUUUACCACUAGCACCCCUUUGGGUGUGUUCACAUGCACCCACAGGAAGAUAUCAAAUAGUUGCAUGUAUGAUCUAGAAUUAAGGGAGAAGGUGAGAGAUAUAAAUGUAGGACUCAUUAGCCACAUUUAAAAUAAGUGGUAUUUAAAGCCAAGGAAUGAGGUUGCUAGGGAAUUGAGAGUAGACAGAAAACAGGACUAGACCUGGAGGUCCCCAACAUGAAAAAGCCAGAGAGUCUACAGAGAAGCAGGAAAGAAGGGAGAUGAGAAGGAAGAAGAGUGUCUGAGAGUAUAGAGUCCUUGUAGUAUCCUUUUUAGGUUGAUUUAAUUCAUUUCAAUCUCAGAAAGCCAAGUUUUUUUUUUUCUUUUACCUUUCAGUUUGGGGAGACGCCUACCCACCCUGCUAGCUCUUUCUCUCUGAAUGCACUGCCUUUUAGAAUGCCCUUAGAUGUCAGAGGUUAAUGGAAACAAGUUGUGAAAGUUCAACAAACAGUUUGCAUUCUUGCCCAAACAAGCCAACCUAAUUCAGCCUGAGACUGUACAACAUGGUCAGUGGGAGGGUGGUAGUGUUUUAUUUUGGGACCGACCAAAUAGAAAACAGGCUGCUCUGUGAAGCAUGUUACCCCUGGUGUCAGGUGACACAGAUCAGGCACUACCUCAAAAGCAAAGGCUUAAAACAAUGACAAGAGAAUGAGCCUUCUGUUAAUAUCCUAGAAGUGGACAGGACAGGCCUUUCUGUCUAUACCUUCCGACAUUUAUUUCCGUGUACAGAAAUCAUUAAAAGUAUUAAAACGUAAGACCUUUCUAUGGGCAUAAUGAACUAUCCUUUUUUCACCUAAUCAUAUAUUGGAGUUAAAGAUAUGUUUCAAUACCAUUUACUUUGGGUUAAAAUCAUUUCUGUUCUUACAGGACACAGAGAAAAAAAAAUCAUGAAAUUCUAAGUGGUUAAAAUAGAAAAGAGGACUCCACUUGUGCAAAUUCAGUACUUUCUAUGUAAUUAGCAUUGUAGAUGAUGUAUAAAUGCACGUACAUCUGCCGUGUCAUUAGCUGUGUAUGUUGAAGCUCUGUUGCUCAAUUCCUAGUGCUUGUUACACCUAAAACAAAACCCCGAAUGUUCACUUAGAAAAAAAUAUCUUUUCGCCAAUUUCCACUCAAGCAUUUCUUAGGUGUCUUCAUUGCCUGGCAAAGUGUGCACAGGUGACAAAUUAUUAAGCCUUUUUAAAAAAAGUGAGUAGCACUGAUUCAGAAAUAAUCAUGUUUCAAACAGGGGACA